CCUGCAGGUUCUCUCCGUAGGAAAUCUCUACCACUGCCCCUCCCCCGUGUGGGAUUUUGGCAUUUUUGUGCAACCUAGAACACAUGAGGGCUGGAGGAGGAUGGGGUGUAGGGGCAGAUACACGAUACGGAGUUACCAAGGCGGAUGUGAGUGCACGUGGAGGACUGGAUUGCUUCGGAGCAGCAGGUGUAUCUUGAAGCCAAGAAGUCAUCCAUCAUCUUCUUACUGUGGUGAGAACCUUUUUAAUCUACCCAUGGCUAAAAUAUGGUACCUUCCUUUUCAGUUACUUUCUAUAAGUUAGAUUUAAUGAGCCAGCAAGUACAGGGUAUUAUAUAUUAAAUGGAACCAAUCAGGUGGUUGAUAAAGAUCCCAGACCUACUGUUCAUAACUCCAUACUGGUCAGUUAGCCACCUCAAUAAACCUGGGUGGUUAAUGGAGCAGACAUAUCACCUAAAUUCAAAGAGAGGGUGGCAGUAUUUUCUGCCUUCUAAGGGUAAGGACUGGGUAAGAUGCAGAAAAGACCAAAUUUUCAAACCCAGUAGAGGGAGCAAAAUGUCAGCAUUAUCGCCUGCCCACUGGAUUUGUAGACUGAAGACAAUGUGCAUUUGAGCAUCGCUUAGGUCCUAGUAAAUAAUUUAUAAAUAAAAAUGAUUUUUUUUUU
rnacentral:lncRNA from 1 species